AUUGAACGCUGGCGGCAGGCCUAACACAUGCAAGUCGAGCGGAUGAAGGGAGCUUGCUCCUGGAUUCAGCGGCGGACGGGUGAGUAAUGCCUAGGAAUCUGCCUGGUAGUGGGGGAUAACGUCCGGAAACGGGCGCUAAUACCGCAUACUUCCUGAGGGAGAAAGUGGGGGAUCGUCGGACCUCACGCUAUCAGAUGAGCCUAGGUCGGAUUAGCUAGUUGGUGGGGUAAAGGCCUACCAAGGCGACGAUCCGUAACUGGUCUGAGAGGAUGAUCAGUCACACUGGAACGGAGACACGGUCCAGACUCCUACGGGAGGCAGCAGUGGGGAAUAUUGGACAAUGGGCGAAAGCCUGAUCCAGCCAUGCCGCGUGUGUGAAGAAGGUCUUCGGAUUGUAAAGCACUUUAAGUUGGGAGGAAGGGCAGUAAGUUAAUACCUUGCUGUUUUGACGUUACCAACAGAAUAAGCACCGGCUAACUUCGUG
rnacentral:rRNA from 1 species